rnacentral:rRNA from 1 species
UACAGAGGUCCCAAGCGUUGUUCGGAUUCAUUGGGCGUAAAGGGUGCGUAGGCGGCGCGGUAAGUCGAGUGUGAAAUCUCGGGGCUUAACUCCGAAACUGCAUUCGAUACUGCCGUGCUUGAGGACUGGAGGGGAGACUGGAAUUUACGGUGUAGCGGUGAAAUGCGUAGAUAUCGUAAGGAAGACCAGUGGCGAAGGCGGGUCUCUGGACAGUUCCUGACGCUGAGGCACGAAGGCCAGGGGAGCAAACGGG